UCAACGUGUAUUUCCUAGACGAGAGGUCCGGGUAAACCGCUGAACCACUUUCAUGCUGGGAUUGUGAACUGAAACUGUUCACAUGAACUUGGAAUCCCAGUAAGUGUGAGUCAUUAACUCGCAUGAUACGUCCCUGCCCUUUGUACACACCGCCGUCGCUACUACCGAUUGAAUUAUUUAGUGAGGUCUCCGGGACGUGAUCACUGUGACGCCUUGCGUGUUACGGUUGUUUCGCAAAAGUUGACCGAACUUGAUUAUUUAGAGGAAGUAAAAGUCGUAACAAGGUUUCCGUAGGUGAACCUGCGGAAGGAUCAUUA
rnacentral:ncRNA from 1 species